rnacentral:rRNA from 1 species
GGGUAAAAUUAAAAAAAAAUUAUAAUUAAUAAAAAAAAUUUUAAUAUUAAAAAUAAAUAAAUGGGGGUUUAAGUAUUUUUAAUAGAAAAAAUUAAUAUUUUUAUAGUUAAAUAUUACUGUAAAGGAAUAUUUUAAAUAGUUGAAAAAAAAAAUAAUUAAAAAGUAGAUUUAAUUUAUUGUAUCUUGUGUAUCAGAGUUUAUUAAAUAAUAAUAAUUUAUUUAAAUAAAUCUCGAAUUUAAAAGAGUUAAUUAAUUAAAAAAUUUAAUGUUGUAUAAUUAUUUUUAAUAAUUAAUUGGAAAUGAAAUGUUAAUCGUUUUUAAAUAUAUCUAGUUUUUUUAGAAAUAAAUUUAAUUUAAAAUUAAAAUAAUUUUAUAAUUAUUUAAUUAAUUAUGAAAAUUUGAAAUUUAAUAUUUUAGGGGAUAAGCUUUAAAUUAAAAAUUUAUAAUUAAAUUAAUAAAAGAUUAAAAUUUUUAAUAUUUAUAUUGUUUAAAAAUUAUAGUUUAUUAUAAAAAAUUUUAAUAAAAAUAAAAUUUAAAAUAAAAAUUUAAAUUUUUAUAAAAAAAUAAUUUAUAAUUUAUUAAAAUUAGUAAUAAUGAUAAAAUUAGUAUAAUAUGGUAUAUAUAUAUAUAUAUAUAUAUAAUUUAAAUAAAAAUUUGUUAGAAAUUAAUUUAAAGGAAUUCGGCAAAAAUUUAUGUUCACUUGUUUAUCAAAAACAUGUCUUUUUGAUUAUAAUUUAAAGUCUAAUCUGCCCACUGAUAAUAAAAAUUAAAGGGCUGCAGUAUAUUGACUGUACAAAGGUAGCAUAAUCAUUAGUCUUUUAAUUGGAGACUUGUAUGAAAGAUUUGAUGAGAUAUAGACUGUCUCUAUUUUAAAAUUAGAAAUUAAUUUUUUAGUAAAAAAGCUAAAAUAAAAUUAAAAGACGAGAAGACCCUAUAGAGUUUUAUAUUUUAUUUUUUUUUUGUAAGAUAAAUAUAUAUAUAUAUAAAUAAUUAAAGAAGAUAAUAAAAUAUUUUAUUGGGGUGAUAAAAAAAUUUAAUAAACUUUUUUUAUUUUUUAACGUAGAUAAAUGAGCUAUUGAUCCAUUAUUAAUGAUUAAAAGAAAAAAUUACCUUAGGGAUAACAGCGUAAUAUUUUUUUUUAGUACAAAUAAAAAAAAAAGUUUGCGACCUCGAUGUUGGAUUAAGAUAAAAUUUAAAUGCAGAAGUUUAAAAUUUUGAUCUGUUCGAUCAUUAAAAUCUUACAUGAUCUGAGUUCAAACCGGUGUGAGCCAGGUUGGUUUCUAUCUUUAAUAAGUAAAAAUAUUUUAGUACGAAAGGAUUAAAUAUUUAAAAUAAUUUUAUUUAUUUGAAUAUUAAUAAAUAUAAAUA